GUAUUAUGUAUGGGCUGAAUUUAUUAUGAAAACAAUUUUAUUUAGGUAAGGAAAGAAUUAUACUAUUUUGAAUUUGAACUACCAAGGUUUAUGUUCAAGUUUGAAUUAUUUAUAAAAGAGGUUAUGUUUUGAGAGUUAUUCAAUAUGAAGAGAGUUAUGCUUGGGGUUUGAAAUAAAGGAUUACUUUUUAGAAGGUUAAUGAAUAUAUAUAAUAUUUGAAUUUGAAUGGUAAAGAGAGACGGUUUUUGAGUCUUUGGGAAGUUAGUAAACUUGAAAAAGAGUUUUAUAUGGUUACUUUUAGUAAGAGGGUGAUGUUUUGAAAAGUAUUUAGCGAAUUUAAAAUAAAUGAUUUUUUUUGAGUCUUUUGAAAGAAAAUUAAACUAGAAAAUGAUUUUAAAAUUGGGUUGAGUUAAGAGGUUGCAAAAGUGGAAGUCAUAAGGUUUGUACAGCAUGAUUGAAUAAAGAAAGAGAAAGAUAUUGUAUAAGAAUAUGUAACUAGAGAUGAAUAAUAAGAAUGAUAACUUAUGAUGAUAAUUACACUGAUUCUUUUGAGGAAAGGUAUUCAGUUUAUGGAAUGGUUGGCAAGGACGUGGGUUUUGUCCCGCUUGCAUAUUUAUGAUUAUAAAAGAGAAUAAAAAGCAGAGCACCUGUUGAAAGGUCAUUUGUUGCUUGAGGCAACCCAAGAGAUAUUGAUUUGUUGCUUGAGGCAACUCCUGAGAUGUUUAUGUGAUGAUCUGCUGCGUGAAGGCAGUCAGAUAGAUGGUGGUACGACCACUGAGAACGCUUUCCUGGGAUACCUUGCUAUAAUGCUUUGCUGUAAGACAGAGGUUGCUUACAGAGGUAUCAAGAUUAGAGUGCUCCUGUAAGACAGAGGUUGCUUACAGUGAGUGUGUUGUUGCACCUGUAAGACAAAGGUUGCUUACAGUGUGUUGGGCGUAUAUUGGCUAAUAAGUGCCGCCCUGCAAGACAAAGGUUGCUUGCAGUGGAUACCCUGCAAGACAAAGGUUGCUCGCAGUGGUUAUUGCCAACAGGAAAGCCUUAUCCAGACAAAGGUUGCUGGGUAACGUCGGGAGCGGGUAUGUAACCGACAAAUGAGCUCAUUACCUGCACUAGGGAUAGACAUGCAUCAUCCUCGUGUGUGCAUUUGCAUUUGAUUGUGUUUGCUCUUUGUACUUCUCUGUGAUUGUGCUGUUUGCCUUGUUGUGACUUGUUUGUGUGCUGAAUUGAAUCUUUUGUUAGUGCUAUUAGUUAGUGAAUGUAUGAUGAUGAUUAAGAAUUGAUGUUGUGAUUGAAAAUUAUCUAUGAGGUUGAAAAAUGCUUAAAGUGACCAGUUUUAUAUUUUGGAAUUUGUUUUGAGCUUAGAUUUUUUAAAUAGGUAAAUAAUUAGUAAAGUAAAACCAAAAGAGUAGUAUUUCCAAAAAGAGUUUGACAAAACUAUAGUUUCCUUGAGUACAUUAAUUAUUUGCAUUCUAUUUCAUUACUUUUAUGGCAUUCCCAUUCCCUACUGAGAACGUGUGGUUUGUUCUCACCCCAAAAUCUUCCACCCUUUCAGUGACACAGGUUUGAAGACCCAGUUUGAAGCUGCGGGAGAUUAUAGAUCUUAUUUAUGAGUUAAGUUUAUGACUCGAGUUAUUUUCAUAAAAUUUCCCUCGCCCUUGUUACUUUAAUUUUUAUUUUAUAAAGAGGGAUAGGAUUUGUAUGUGAGUUUUAUUUGAAAUCUUUUGUAUGACAGAUAUUAUUAUUAAUAAUUAUGUGAUUAUUAUUACUU